GCAUCGGUGGUUCAGUGGUAGAAUGCUCGCCUGCCACGCGGGCGGCCCGGCCGAUGCA
rfam:Musca domestica strain aabys unplaced genomic scaffold Scaffold20354, whole genome shotgun sequence.